GAUAAAAUGCCUGAAGUAAUAGGAUUAUCUUGAUAGGAUAAAAUAUGUGAUUUAUUCACUUUUAUUA
rnacentral:tRNA from 1 species